rnacentral:rRNA from 1 species
GUACGGGGCAAGCGUUGUCCGGAUUCAUUGGGCGUAAAGAGCGUGUAGGCGGCCAGGUAGGUCGGUUGUGAAAACUGGAGGCUCAACCUUCAGAGGUCGACCGAAACCAUCUGGCUAGAGUCCGGGAGAGGAGAGUGGAAUUCCUGGUGUAGCGGUGAAAUACGCAGAUAUCAGGAAGAACACCCGUGGCGAAAGCGGCUCUCUGGAACGGUACUGACGCUGAGACGCGAAAGCGUGGGGAGCGAACAGGAUUAGAUACCCUGGUAGUCCACGCCGUAAACGAUGGGCACUAGGUGUGGGAGGUGUCGACUCCUUCCGUGCCGAAGCUAACGCAUUAAGUGCCCCGCCUGGGGAGUACGGCCGCAAGGCUA